AAAAAAUUAAAAAAGUCGGGGAUCAAAGUGUAAUUUUUAAAUAUACCUUGAACUUAAAGUUGAACCCGAUAGUCAAUAACAUUAGUAUUCGCAAAACAAAACAAACGUAAAAUAGUCAAUAUAUAUUAUUACCCAAAAUUCAACUCAGCAUAAUUUGACAUUGAACCCAAAAUUAUUACCCAAAAUUCAACUUCAAGUUCAAGUUAAUUAGGGCCGAAAACCAAC
rnacentral:lncRNA from 1 species